rnacentral:rRNA from 1 species
CUGACCUCAAAUCAGGGUAGGACUACCCGCUGAACUUAAGCAUAUCAAUAAGCGGAGGA